UACGUAGGGUGCGAGCGUUAAUCGGAAUUACUGGGCGUAAAGCGUGCGCAGGCGGUUUUCCAAGACAGAUGUGAAAUCCCCGGGCUCAACCUGGGAAUGGCAUUUGUGACUGGAAGGCUAGAGUGUGUCAGAGGGGGGUAGAAUUCCACGUGUAGCAGUGAAAUGCGUAGAGAUGUGGAGGAAUACCGAUGGCGAAGGCAGCCCCCUGGGAUAACACUGACGCUCAUGCACGAAAGCGUGGGGAGCAAACAGG
rnacentral:rRNA from 1 species